rnacentral:tRNA from 1 species
GGGGAAGUAGCUUAGUUGGUUAAAGCGCCAGCCUGUCACGCUGGAGAUCACGGGUUCAAGUCCCGCCUUUCUCG